rnacentral:ncRNA from 1 species
AGUCGUUAUUUUAAAAAAAGUAAACUCUUGAGACUCAAGCCCGGCUAGUGCCGGAAGGUCAAGGAAGUUGAUGACCUAAUGAUAGAAGAGCCGGUGACCAAAGUCCCGGUGAACGGCGACCGUAACCAUAACAGUCCUAAGAUAACGAAAUUUCUUGUCAGGUAAAUUCCGACCCGCACAAAAGGCGUAACGAUCU